UGCACCAGAGAGGGUCUCUGCACUCAUUGCUGGUCCUAUGAUGCCAUCUAUUGGCGAAAACGUGCAACAGCAUAAUUAAACUAAAAGACAACUUCUGACAGGACAACAAAAAGACAGGGAGUGAGAAUAAGGGAAUAACAAAAAGACAAAAAUGGGGGGUCCACUACACUUGCAUACCUGAUUGUGAUGCUGUCACUCAUUUUCUAGUCUAUAUCUUGGACUGAAAAAGGAUUACAUUAUUAUGUUUUCAGGUGUUUUGCCCCUGCGGUUGUGAAGAGGAUGCUGUGGAGGUGGCAGCAUGAACGUGUCACACAGACAUUGGCUAAACUACUCGGCUUCUACACUUGCCCUCAGAGUUCACAUAUGGUGACGUGCACAGGUGUCCAGUCAGGUUCAGACUGAUGCUGGUAACAAGAGGAAAACAUGCUAAUUGAUGCUGUGUUGCUGCCAGUCCACGGAUGUACACGAAUGGCUCACCUGGAGGAGGAGGGCGGUCAACGACAUUACUCAAGUAUUGACAACAAAUGUGCUCUAC